rnacentral:rRNA from 1 species
ACUUGACCAGCGAAUCUAUAACUGGCAAGGGGAAGACGCAGUGAACUGAAACAUCUAAGUAGCUGCAGGAAGAGAAAGAAAUUCGAUUCCCUCAGUAGCGGCGAGCGAACGGGGAAGAGCCCAAACCAACGAGCUUGCUUGUUGGGGUUGUAGGACUGAACAUUUGAGUUACCAAAGUUCGACGUAGUCGAAACAGUUGGAAAACUGUGCCAGAGCGGGUGAGAGCCCCAUAGGCGAAACGUCGAACCCUCAGUUCAGGAUCCUGAGUACGGCGGAACACGUGUAACUCCGUCGGAAACCGCGAGGACCAUCUCGCAAGGCUAAAUACUACCUAGUGACCGAUAGUGAACCAGUACCGUGAGGGAAAGGUGAAAAGCACCCCGGGAGGGGAGUGAAAUAGUUCCUGAAACCAUGUGCCUACAAGCUGUCGGAGCCCGUUAAUGGGUGACGGCGUGCCUCUCGCAGAAUGAACCGGCGAGUUAUGAUCACGUGCAAGGUUAAGGCGGAAAAGCCGGANNNNNNNNNNNNNNNNNNNNNNNNNNNNNNNNNNNNNNNNNNNNNNNNNNNNCGAAAGCGAGUCUGAAAUGGGCGUACGAAGUACGUGGUUAUAUACCCGAAACCAGGUGAUCUAACCAUGACCAGGUUGAAGGUGCGGUAAAACGCACUGGAGGACCGAACCCGUAUCUGUUGCAAAAGGUUGGGAUGAGUUGUGGUUAGCGGUGAAAUUCCAAACGAACUUGGAGAUAGCUGGUUCUCUCCGAAAUCUCUUUAGGGGGAGCCUUGGAUUAAGAAUCUUGGAGGUAGAGCUACUGUUUGGACUAGGGGCCCGUCAUGGGUUACUGACUUCAGAUAAACUCCGAAUGCCAAUGAUUUAUAUCCAGGAGUCACACGAUGAGCGAUAAGGUCCACCGUGGAAAGGGGAACAGCCCAGAUCACCAGUUAAGGUCCCAAAAUAUAUGCUAAGUGGAAAAGGAUGUGGAGUUGCAUAGACAACUAGGAUGUUGGCUCAGAAGCAGCCAUCAUUUAAAGAGUGCGUAAUAGCUCACUAGUCGAGUGAUCCUGCGCCGAAAAUGUACCGGGGCUAAGCAUAUUACCGAAACUGUGGAUGUGCACGUUAGUGCACGUGAUAGGAGAGCGUUCUAAGGGCGGCGAAGUCAGACCGUGAGGACUGGUGGAGCGCUUAGAAGUGAGAAUGCCG